rnacentral:lncRNA from 1 species
AUGUUUCUUCUGCAGUGUUGGGACUGUUUUAUUUCUUUAAAAUGUCAACGGUUUGGGGCUGCAGCAUUUGAAGAUGAAGCACUCUGGAUGAAAUGCAGACCGAGAGUUAGUGCGGACAAAGGGAAAAGAAAUCAUCCAGUACAACUACCGUCUUCCCUCUGUCUAGCAGUCAUUAUAGCCUCCGGAUGGAGACAGAGGCAAGGCCGGGGCUUCAGCAGCAGGGACCUGCACSCAGGGUGCCUGCUCCUACCGCGGGCCCAAUGUUGGGACAGGGGAUGUUUGGCUGUUGCUAUGUCCCAGCCGUAUUUUGCAGCGUGGGGACGGCUGGUGCCUGCCCGUGCCACGUUAACAGCCACGCGGAGAUGGGAACGGUGCAGCAGUGGGGCGUUUCUGGCCAUGCGGGCUCGCCAUGAGCUGGGCUGGCUCACCCUGUCCCCCGGCUGGGCCCCAACCUGGGGCCCAGUUUCUGUCCCAGUAUCUGGGUCCUUCUCGUGGGGUCCCUGCCUCCACUGCAGGGUCCUGGUCCUGGGAUGCUGGUCCYGGAGCCAGGCUCCCCGUACUCUGCCAGGCCAGAUCCUCGUCCCAGUCCUGGGGCAGGGCCCCUGUCUCCCCAUGGUGUUUCUGUCCUGGGUCGAAGGGCUGGGUCCGAGUCCCAGGUCCCAGGUCCUGGUCCCCAUCCUGGUCUGUGGUCCUCUCCUGGGCUUCAGGUCCUGCGUGCUGGGACCAGUCCCCAUCCUUGGGCUCAGUCCCCUGGGUCCAGGUCCCUGUCCUGGUCCAGGGUCCUGCCCCAGGCUCCUGUCUGGGUCUGGGUGGCUGGGUCAGGGUCCCAGUCCAUGUCCUGGGGGUACCAUCCUGGUCAGGGGUCCUGUCCAGGGUCCCAGUCCAGGAUCCYGUCCCAGUCUGUGUCCCGGAGCCCUGUCACAGGGCGCCAGUCCCUGUCCCAUUGGGGGAUCCCACCCCGGGGUGCCAGUCCCUGCCCCAAGGUCUUGGUCCCUGUUCCAGGGUGCCAUUCCCCACCCGGGGUGCUGGGUGGGGGUCCCGAUCCACGUCUUGGGAUCCCGCCGCAGGGCGCCGGGCCCUGUCCCGGUGGGGGCCCCAUCCCGGGGUGCUGGGCGGGGGCCCCGGUCCACGUCUCGGAGGCCCGGCGCAGGGUGCCGAUCCCUGUCCUGGCGUCCCGGCGGGGCCAAGAGCCGGUGCGGGGGGGGCGGCAGCCGGUGC